rnacentral:rRNA from 1 species
CACGUAGGGUGCGAGCGUUGUUCGGAAUUAUUGGGCGUAAAGGGAGUGUAGGCGGUUUGACAAGUCUUCUGUGAAAUCUACGGGCUUAGCCUGUAACGUGCAGAGGAAACUGUCAGGCUUGAGUGUCGGAGAGGAUAGGGGAAUACCCAGUGUAGAGGUGAAAUGCGUAGAGAUCGGGAGGAACACCAGUGGCGAAGGCGGCUACCUGGACCAGCACUGACACUGAGGCACGAAAGCGUGGGGAGCAAACAGG